UACAGAGGGUGCGAGCGUUGUUCGGAAUUACUGGGCGUAAAGCGCGCGCAGGCGGCUCUUUAAGUCUGACGGUGAAAUGCCGGGGCUCAACCCCGAGCGUGCCGGAGAUACUGGAGGGCUGGAGACGAGUAGAGGCAAGCGGAAUUCCGGGUGUAGCGGUGGAAUGCGUAGAGAUCCGGAAGAACACCGGAGGCGAAGACGGCUUGCUGGGCUCGGUCUGACGCUGAGGCGCGAAAGCGUGGGGAGCGAACAGG
rnacentral:rRNA from 1 species